GGAUGAACGCUAGCUACAGGCUUAACACAUGCAAGUCGAGGGGAAACGACAUCGAAAGCUUGCUUUCGAUGGGCGUCGACCGGCGCACGGGUGAGUAACGCGUAUCCAACCUGCCCAUCACUUGGGGAUAACCUUGCGAAAGUAAGACUAAUACCCAAUGACGUCUCUAGAAGACAUCUGAAGGAGAUUAAAGAUUUAUCGGUGAUGGAUGGGGAUGCGUCUGAUUAGCUUGUUGGCGGGGUAACGGCCCACCAAGGCGACGAUCAGUAGGGGUUCUGAGAGGAAGGUCCCCCACAUUGGAACUGAGACACGGUCCAAACUCCUACGGGAGGCAGCAGUGAGGAAUAUUGGUCAAUGGGCGAGAGCCUGAACCAGCCAAGUAGCGUGCAGGAUGACGGCCCUAUGGGUUGUAAACUGCUUUUAUAAGGGAAUAAAGUGAGCCUCGUGAGGCUUUUUGCAUGUACCUUAUGAAUAAGGACCGGCUAAUUCCGUGCCAGCAGCCGCGGUAAUACGGAAGGUCCGGGCGUUAUCCGGAUUUAUUGGGUUUAAAGGGAGCGUAGGCCGGAGAUUAAGCGUGUUGUGAAAUGUAGACGCUCAACGUCUGCACUGCAGCGCGAACUGGUUUCCUUGAGUACGCACAAAGUGGGCGGAAUUCGUGGUGUAGCGGUGAAAUGCUUAGAUAUCACGAAGAACUCCGAUUGCGAAGGCAGCUCACUGGAGCGCAACUGACGCUGAAGCUCGAAAGUGCGGGUAUCGAACAGGAUUAGAUACCCUGGUAGUCCGCACGGUAAACGAUGGAUGCCCGCUGUUGGUCUGAAUAGGUCAGCGGCCAAGCGAAAGCAUUAAGCAUCCCACCUGGGGAGUACGCCGGCAACGGUGAAACUCAAAGGAAUUGACGGAAGGGCGA
rnacentral:rRNA from 1 species